rnacentral:rRNA from 1 species
UAGGGAAUAUUGCGCAAUGGGCGAAAGCCUGACGCAGCAACGCCGCGUGCACGGUGAAGGUCUUCGGAUUGUAAAGUGCUUUUAUGAGGGAAGAGUAAGGACGGUACCUCAUGAAUAAGGAUCGGCUAACUACGUGCCAGCAGCCGCGGUAACACGUACGAUCCAAGCGUUAUCCGGAUUUACUGGGCGUAAAGCGCGUGCAGGUGGUCUGCAAAGUUGGAUGUCAAAUCUCCCGGCUCAACUGGGAGCUGUCGUUCAAAACUAGUAGACUAGAGGACGGUAGAGGGAGGUGGAAUUCCGUGUGUAGUGGUGAAAUGCGUAGAUAUCCGGAGGAACACCAGUGGCGAAGGCGGCCUCCUGGCCCGCUCCUGACACUAAGACGCGAAAGCUAGGGUAGCGAACGGGAUUAGAUACCCGCGUAGUCC